GUGCUGGGGAGGGGGAAGCAAAAUAUACAGAAAAGAGAGUGGAUUAGGCACCAGAAGGUCUGGAUUUGAAUCCCAGUUUGUGAGUUGGUGUGUGCCACAGCCUUGGGCAAAUCUCUUCCGUCUUCAGUUUCCCAUCUGAGACAUGGAGAACAGCUGAUCAACAUCUCUCCAUAAUAAUCCUCUGAACACCUGAAGACAGCUGUGAGAGCUUAAAGAUUUGCUGAGGCUAAUCUGGGUACAGAUGAGGAAACUGAGACACAGAUGACUACACAGUAUUUUCUGAUUCCACUUCUAGAAAGAAGUUAAGUCA
rnacentral:lncRNA from 1 species